rnacentral:tRNA from 1 species
ACCCUUGAUGUGACUAACUUGUGGUUUCGAACCACCUACCGCACGUCACUUGUU